rnacentral:rRNA from 1 species
UUAAAGACGAUGAGGUAGAUAGGCUAGGAGUGGAAGCAUAGCGAUAUGUGGAGCGGACUAGUACUAAUCAGUCGAGCACUUGACCAAA